UUGGUGACUCGUCCAGAACGGAACAAACUUGUGCUUCCUGCUCGCGGAGACCAGGUCGGACUCGUCCAUGCUUCAUGACUGACUGUUUAAAAAAUAAGGUUGAGCUUCUUGAAGAUCUUCCAACAGUAGGUGUCAAGCAUUUCAAUUCUGGGUGGCCGCCGUGUCCCCACUCUUUUGCUUGGCCGCCGUGCCCGUGUCUAUCCAGCUUUCCUACAAUGUACUGAAACCAUCUUUACGUCCAACAUGGCCACGUUCUUUCACCUCUCCUCCUUUCCAAUAUCAAAUAGCUCAGGGUUGUACAUGGAGCGUUAGCUACAGAGACGGUGGUUUGUUAAUCUGGUCCUCUCUAGUUUAUAUUUUUGCCGUACUGCUGAGUGAUUUGUAAGAAUGAGGUGUUUUUGAGGCUCUUCAGCAGCUUGUCUUUGAAUGAAUGCUGAUCCUGGUGUUGAAUGGGAUUGAGAAUAGGAUUCUGCUCAGCAGUGCCCGUUGAGAUAUGGUUUGCCGUAUUGGACCGCACUAACAUUUCCUUUUUAGGUCUACCAACGAGUGGUAAGUCCAAUUAUUUCUUUUUUGGGAGGCUACCUUCUCGGCCUCCUUUUUUUUAUU